rnacentral:lncRNA from 1 species
UGUUCCAAAAAGCUCACAACCUCAAACAACAAGAAUUGCUAUUUUUUUUUGCUACCAACCAGAGAGCAGAUCUGGUUUAUGAUCUUAGUCCAUUUCCUCUUUGAUUCAAGAUAAAUGGUCCAAGAAUUUUACUUUGUCAAGAGGGCAGGCAAUUUGCUAAUUCUAGAUGGGAAAUUUUGUUUUGAUAGGAGCGAUCGCGGGAUCGGUUUGGAAAAUCAAAAUGAAGAAUGGCAGUCCAGAAAAUGAAAUAUUUGGAAGAAACCUAGUUGUUGGUAUGGGCGGUAUAGGAAGGAUAACUCUCCAGAAUUGCUAUUUCUCGUUAAAAAUAUUAUGUCGAUCCGUUUUCAAGGGUAUGCCUCUUAUACAUUAAUCUAGUUUCCAUGAAGCAAGUUAUCUGAAAUUCUUUUGUGAUGAAAAUGAAACUACUGGUUUUCUUUUCCUUUUUAAUCGGGUUUUUGCACAAGUAAUUUUGGAAUAUGGUGUAUACUUUUCGUUGAUUUUGUAAAAUCAUUGCAUCUGUUUGUGAAGACUAGUUGAUUAAAUCUUGAAUUGUUCUUCCUUCAUACUAUGUUGAUGAAUGGACUAGAUCCAUUCUUCUAUCUAGACUUCGGUAUUCUGAUUUGGCCCAAAUUGUUAAUCAGUUCGCUUUGUUUUAGUGAAUUGAUUUUUGACCUAAUAUUGGUAAAAGAAUUUAACAUUUACACUUACCUUUGAUUAAAUUAAUCUGCUUAUAAAUUAUGCUUUUAAGUAAUGUUUGAUUACCCAGAAAAUGGUAGUUGGUGGGAAGCUAAUACACAAUUCCCAUUCUCUUUGCAGCAUAUAUAAGCAACUCGACUAUGGAGAAGCAACUCGUAGUAGCAGCAAUAUAAAGUGCUUCACCAUUUCCAAAAAGAGUAGAUAGCAAUAUAAAUAGACUUAAUUUUUUCAGGGUAAAGAAGCCGUGAACAACAACUUGAGAUCUUGGCUCGAGUUACAAGUAUUGUCUACAUCUCAAUUCCCAUGCUUCCUCCAUCAUUACCAUCACCAUAUAAAAGAACAUCGAGGUAUCUUAUGACAAACUUCUGUUGGUUGGAAACUAAUAUCAAUAAGUAUUUAUUUUUUAUGAGAAGAAAUGUCAAGGAAUGUCUAAAGAGGAUAGAAGAAUGAAUAUCAUUUGUGUAUUAUGCUAAUGAAUUUGUCAAGAGAUAGAGACGAAUUAUUCAAAUGCUACUAUGAAUAUUAGCUGGAAUCAUGUGUAUUAGCUGAAGAUAUAUACCAGAAAUAUAGUUAUUUGUGCUGCCAAUUUCUACAUGCUAAAUAUGUCCUCAUAGUUGGAAUUAUAUCAGAUGUGCAAUGGGCAUUGCUAAACCUAGCUACAAUAGUAUGGUACAGUUAUAUUACAAAGCCAUAAAAAUUUCAUUCUCUUGGUGACGAGUUUUAAUGGUGG